UACCUUUUGUAUCAGGGUUAAUUAAAUAAUUUUUAAAUAAUUAAAUAUCUCGAAAUUAAAAGGGUUAAAUAUAUAAAAUUUUUUUUGUGAAAUAAAGAUUAUAAAUAUAUAUUUAGAAAUUAAAUGUUAUUCAAUUUUAAUGAUAUCUAGUUUUUUUUGAAUUAAAUUUAAUUUAUAUAUUUUUUAAGAAUAAAUUUUAUUAAAAAAAUUUAUUUUAAAAAAUAUAAAUAAUUUAUGGGAUAAACUAUAAAUUAUUAUAUAAUAAAUUUAAUUUAAAAUUUAAAUAAAUUAAUUUUAAUAUUUAAAAUAUUUAAUAAGUAUUUAAUAAUUUAUUAAUAAAUUUAAUUAAAUAAUAAUUUAUAUUAUAUAUAAAUUAAAAAAAAAAUAAUUUUAAUAAAUUAAUUAUAUUAAAAUGAUUAAAUUAGUAAUUUAAGUUGUAUAAAUUUAUUUUUUAAGAAAAUAUUUUUAAGUAACUAGGCAAAAUUAUUAUAUUCACCUGUUUAACAAAAACAUGUCUUUUUGAUUAUAAUAUAAAGUCAGUUCUGCUCAAUGAGUAAUUAAAUAGCUGCAGUAUUUUGACUGUACAAAGGUAGCAUAAUCAUUUGUCUUUUAAUUGUAGGCUAGAAUGAAUGAAUUAAUGAAAUAUAAACUGUCUCAAUAAUAUAAAAUAAAUUUAAAUUUUAAGUUAAAAUGCUUAAUUUUAUUUAAGGGACGAUAAGACCCUAUAGAAUUUUAUAUAUUAUAAAUUUUUUAAAUUAAAAUAAUAUAUUUGAUUGGGAGGAUUUUUAUAUUUAAUUAACUUUAAAAUUUAAAAAAUAUUGAUUUAUAGAAUUUUAAUUGAAAUAUAUUUAUUAUAUUAAAAGAAUAAAUUACCUUAGGGAUAACAGCGUAAUAUUUUUGGAAAGAUCAAAUUGAAAAAAUUGUUUGCGACCUCGAUGUUGAAUUAAAAUUAAUUAUAAAUGUAGGUGUUUAUAAAUUUAGUCUGUUCGACUAUUAAAAUUUUACAUGAUUUGAGUUCAGAUCGACGUGAGUCAGAUUGGUUUCUAUCUUUAAAAAAAUUUAAAAUUUUUGUACGAAAGGACUAAAUUUAAGAAAUUAUUUUUAUAAAGAAAAAUUAAU
rnacentral:rRNA from 1 species